rnacentral:lncRNA from 1 species
GUUUUUUAAAAAAAUAUUUUAUUUUUUUAAUUUUAGGUGGACACAAUAUCUUUAUUUUAUGUGGUGCUGGGGAUCGAACCCAGUGCCGCAUGCAUGCCAGGUGAGCGCACUACCACCUGAGCCACAUCCCGAGCCCAGAUAUAAUAGUUUUAAUGUAAAGGGAAGACAAACAUGGAAGAAAUAAACAAGUUAAUAGCAUAAUCUCUACUAUGUCAAUUAUAAUUUUGAAUCCACCAAGAAUAGAAAACCAUCCUCCAAGUAGUGAGCUUGGAUCCUAAUCCUUAAUGCCCUUUGAGAUUUGAACUGGUACAUGUACUAGUUUUCUGAUAUUGUUAGCUAUGUGUUUUAUUGUUAUCAAUCCUGAAGUAAGCACCAAGGAAAGGACUAUGUCCAUGACAGAAGUAAUGAAUCAUAGUAUAAGAGCCAUCUCAGCAGAUGAAACAGUUCAUUUGUCCUGCUGGUUAGUUUAUUUUCUACCCUCCAUUGAUCAGCCAGCCCCAAGUGGCUCAGGCAGGGCUAAUGUUUCCUCAAGCAGGUGUGCGCAGGCUAGUCAGGUUCCAGAGUGACUAGAGCAGGGAUGGUGUUCUUCUGAUUCUCAAGCUUGUCUGCUGUUUCCUUCUUCCUAAUGGUCAGCUGAAGGGCUGCAAAUUAAGGUGGGAAAGCUGCUAAAGAAUGUGUAUGACAAUAUAAGAUUAUAUUUUCAAAAAGUCCCAAAACAGGUCAAAAGGAACAAGAUAUUACAAAAUGUGUAUCUGUGUAUAUGUAUAUACAUAUGUUGAUAUAUUUGGUGACACUGUAAAGAAAACUAUGGAAUUGUGGACAGUCCUCCAUGUAUGUGUGGUAGAGCUGGGGGAUAUCCCAGGAGGCUUAAACUACAUAGAUUUAUCUUAAUGUAAUUUUAAACAAAUUUGAAAACAGCCUAUAAUUUUAUGAGCCUGACCCAACAUUUCAUGCUUUAGCUUAUGAUCUCCC